UAACUCUGGUUUCCCUUCAAAACGUAUAAAUCUUUCGCCUUUUACUAAAGAUUUCCGUGGAGGGGAACACUCAAAUGAGUCUUUGAUAUAUUUUUGAUACCCUACCUUCAGCGUAGGGC